UAAUACAGAGGGUGCGAGCGUUAAUCGGAAUUACUGGGCGUAAAGCGCGCGUAGGCGGUUUUGUAAGUCGGGUGUGAAAUCCCCAAGCUUAACUUGGGAACUGCAUUCGAGACUGCAUAGCUAGAGUAUGGGAGAGAGAAGUGGAAUUUCCGGUGUAGCGGUGAAAUGCGUAGAUAUCGGAAGGAACAUCAGUGGCGAAAGCGACUUCUUGGACCAAUACUGACGCUCAAGUGCGAAAGCGUGGGGAGCAAACAGGAUUAGAUACCCUGGUAGUCCACGCCAUAAACGAUGAGAACUGGAUGUCGGGAGGGUCUGCCUCUCGGUGUCGUAGCUAACGCGAUAAGUUCUCCGCCUGGGGAGUACGGCCGCAAGGUUG
rnacentral:rRNA from 1 species